rnacentral:snoRNA from 1 species
AAGACAAAUGAUCUUUAGGUUCUAUUCAUCCAAAUUCAGUUUUGUGAAAAUUCAGAAAAUUUUGGCCAUAGUAAUGUCAUGUUAAAAGCUGUAAGGACAUUUAAGUCAUUAAAGUUUCUGUAAGUGGCUACAGUA